GGGAAAGACAUGUACUUGAUGCGAGGAACCCACCUCGUGUCACAUGCAUACAUCGUGAAUACGAUGAGAUUGAAGGCAUAAAUAGUAUUAGCAGUGCAAGAAUUCCAUUUCCGCUUCAUGACAUAUUAGACAAGUCAUUUUUUAUUCGAUCAACUCAAUUGUCUGCUCUUCGAAGAUUUGCCCCUCCCCACCUCCAUGGAUGCUCUACUUUUCAAAUAUUAACUGCAUGUUUAUGGAAAUGUCGAACAGUGGCACUCCAACCAGACCCCAAACAAGAGAUGCGCAUGAUAUGUCUCAAUAAUGUGCGCAAAAAAUUCAAUCCUCCUUUAUUACCAGAAGGGUAUUACGGUAAUGGAUUUGCGCUCUCGACUGUGGUGGCAACUGCCGGAGAACUCACUCAAAAUCCGAUAGGUUAUGCAUUAGAAUUGGUGAGGAAGGCUACCACGGAUAUGAGCAGAGAAUAUCUACAGUCUGUGGCUGAUCUAAUGGUGAUUAAGGGUAGGCCUAUAUUUCACGUGGAAGGAAGUUACUUAGUGUCGGACUUGAGACAUGCAGGCUUUAGAGAGGUAGAUUUUGGAUGGGGCAAAGCUGUGUAUGGUGGGCCGUUGAGAGCCAUCCCCAUGGUCGCAAGCUUUUAUGUACCGUUUGAAAAUAAGAAAGGUGAAAAUGGAAUUGUGUUUCCAAUUUGCUUGCCAACCCAAGCAAUGGAAAGAUUUGCAAAGGAGUUGAACAAUUUGUUGGAGGGCCAACCAAUUCAUGGUGACAACAAUGGAUCUUCACACGUAUUGUCUGCUUUAUAAGCUCGGGUGUUACUGUUAGAAAAUCUAUUUCUUGGAAAGGCAUUGUGUUAAUAAGCAAAGUGAAUUUACUAUUAUAUGAAUCAAACCAAUGCUUUAGUUUGAUAUUAUUGCAGUAUGCAUAGGGGUCUCUAAGAGGACAUUCUGGUAAUGUUGGAGUUUUGUAGCACUUUCUG
rnacentral:misc_RNA from 1 species